rnacentral:rRNA from 1 species
CCUACGGGUGGCAGCAGUGAGGAAUAUUGGUCAAUGGACGCAAGUCUGAACCAGCCAUGCCGCGUGGAGGAUGAAGGUUUUAGGAUUGUAAACUCCUUUUGUGAGAGAAGAUAAUGACGGUAUCUCACGAAUAAGCACCGGCUAACUCCGUGCCAGCAGCCGCGGUAAUACGUAGGGGGCAAGCGUUAUCCGGAUUUACUGGGUGUAAAGGGAGCGUAGACGGCGGGGCAAGUCUGGAGUGAAAGGCCGGGGCCCAACCCCGGGACCGCUCUGGAAACUGCCCGGCUGGAGUGCGGGAGAGGUAAGCGGAAUUCCUAGUGUAGCGGUGAAAUGCGUAGAUAUUAGGAGGAACACCAGCGGCGAAGGCGGCUUACUGGACCGUGACUGACGUUGGGGCUCGAAAGCGUGGGGAGCAAACAGGAUUAGAUACCCUAGUAGUC